AGUGAACGCUGGCGGUAGGCCUAACACAUGCAAGUCGAACGGCAGCACAGUAAGAGCUUGCUCUUACGGGUGGCGAGUGGCGGACGGGUGAGGAAUACAUCGGAAUCUACUUUUUCGUGGGGGAUAACGUAGGGAAACUUACGCUAAUACCGCAUACGACCUACGGGUGAAAGCAGGGGAUCUUCGGACCUUGCGCGAUUGAAUGAGCCGAUGUCGGAUUAGCUAGUUGGCGGGGUAAAGCCCCACCAAGGCGACGAUCCGUAGCUGGUCUGAGAGGAUGAUCAGCCACACUGGAACCGAGACACGGUCCAGACUCCUACGGGAGGCAGCAGUGGGGAAUAUUGGACAAUGGGCGCAAGCCUGAUCCAGCCAUACCGCGUGGGUGAAGAAGGCCUUCGGGUUGUAAAGCCCUUUUGUUGGGAAAGAAAAGCAGCAGGUUAAUACCCCGCUGUUCUGACGGUACCCAAAGAAUAAGCACCGGCUAACUUCGUG
rnacentral:rRNA from 1 species